rnacentral:rRNA from 1 species
UAAGAAUGUGAGUCGAGAGUCUUCGGGACUCGGCAGACGGNUCAGUAACACGCGGAUAAUCUGCCCUUGGGUGGGGAAUAAUCUCGGGAAACUGAGCAUAAUACCCCAUAGGCCUGAGAUGCUGGAACGCUCUCAGGCUAAAAGCUCCGGCGCCCAAGGAUGAGUCUGCGGCCUAUCAGCUUGUAGUUGGUGUAAAUGACCAACUAGGCGACGACGGGUACGGGCAUUGGGAGAUGUAGCCCGGAGAUGGACUCUGAGACACGAGUCCAGGCCCUACGGGGCGCAGCAGUCGCGAAAACUUCACAAUGUGGGAAACCGCGAUGAGGGGAUUCCAAGUGCUUGCGUUUUGCGUAAGCUGUUCUCCUGCCUAGAAAGCAGGGGGAGUAAGGGCUGGGUAAGACGGGUGCCAGCCGCCGCGGUAAUACCCGCAGCCCAAGUGGUGGUCGAUAUUAUUGAGCUUAAAGCGUCCGUAGCCUGUCUGGUAAAUUCUUGGGUAAAUCGUGCAGCUUAACUGUCUGAAUUCCGGGGAGACUGCCAGACUUGGGACCGGGAGAGGUUGGAGGUACUCUGGGGUAGGGGUAAAAUCCCGUAAUCUGGGAGGACCAUCAGUGGCGAAGGCGUCCAACUGGAACGGAUCGACGGUCAGGGACGAAGCCCUGGGUCGCGAACUGGAUUAGAUACCCAGGUAGUCCAGGGCUGUAAACGCCUGCAGACUUGGUGUCGGAGGUCCACGAGGGCGUCCGGUGCCGGAGAGAAAUUGUUAAGUCUGCCGCAUUGGGGAGUCGUCGCAAGGAUGAAACUUAAAGGAAUUGGCAGGGAGAGCACCGCAACGGGAGGAGCCGUGCGGUUCAAUUGGAUUCAACGCCGGAAAACUCACCGGGGCGACGGUUCAUGAAGGCCAAGCCUGAUGACUUUGCCUGAUUUCCCGAGAGGUGGUGCAUGGGCCGUCGUCAGUUCGUACCGUAAGGCGUUCUGCAAAGUNAGAUAACGAACGAGACCCUCAUCCUUAAUUGC